AUUGCUCCCAGCGCCAAGCUCUGUGUCGCCGCCGUCGCCUAGGCGGUUGGGGGUCGGUGGGGCGGCGCGGGCGGGGGUCGCUGCGCGGGGCGGCGAGCCUCUGUUUUGUCUCCUUCUCUCCCUGUGGAGCGGCUCGGGCUGCUGGGGAGGCCCCGGCUCCCUCCGGACGCUCGGCCAACGGCGGCGGCUAGUCCGCGGCCCUGCUGAGAGGGAAAAGGACGCCGCGGUCUUCCCAGGCGUCGCGGAGAGCAGUUCCAAAGAACUACUGGUUCAGAUUUUAGCUCUUCCCAAGUUGUGAAAAUAGUGAAGGAUGCUUAGACUACUUAACAUACAAACUGCUUUCUGGUUAAUCAUCUUUAGAAGACUGGAUUUCUGGAUAUCUACUCCACUCCAUCUCUAUUGACUUUUAAAACAUGAUAAUGCAAACCUAUAACACUGGCAACCAUCAGUGAACCUUUAAUUUCAUUGAUUAAUAGCGUUUGAAGCUUCCUCAGGGAAUAACAAUGACAUCAGCAGUGGUUGACAGUGGAGGUACUAUUUUGGAGCUUUCCAGCAAUGGAGUAGAAAAUCAAGAGGUUAGGCAUUCAAUGAAUUACAUUUCUAUUUUCUUCAUAGAAAUUUGUGCAUGAACUAAUUUUGAAAUUAAUAGGAAACAUAUUUGAGAGUAAAAAUGUACAAAGCAUGAAAUUAUACAUGUACAUGUCGUGUAUCCUUAUAUAAUUUAGGUAAUAGAAGGUCAAGGAAGGUAUUGCAGGGCUUACGUGAAUUGUUGGAACAUACAUAUAUUAGAAUGAACUUGGAGGGAGGAAAGGAAUGGAAAGAACACUAUAGUAUUAGUUGAGAGUUAAAUUUAAAUCCCUCAUAAAACCCAUUGUCUUGGAUUAUACUGUAGGUAUAUACUAUGCCCAAAUACCUAAAUUAGAUUCAUUCUAAGUUAGAAUUUUGUAUGUGCUUUACUUAUUAUCUUUGUUUCUUGAUUAUUUUAUAUCUAAAUCGGUGUGGAGAUCCAUUGUAUUUUAAUCUCAUUUAAACACGAAUUUAGAUAAUUAGUAAGUCAGAAAAUGAAUUCAGAUUUUGAAAUUUUAUGCGUGUAGGAUUUUGAAUCAUUAGCAUAUUUGGUUAUUUUGUUAUUGAUAACAUUGAAGAAUUAGAUGAGAAUAAAAAAAUAACAGUAGUAGAAAUACCGGGGCUUCUAGGUCCUGGCUUCUGUUCUUAGCAUUCAGUAAAGAGUGAAUAUUGGGGCCAGUCGCGGUGGCUCACGCCUGUAAUCCCAGCACUUUGGGAGGCCCAGGUGGGCGGAUCACCAGGUCAGGCAUUUGAGACCAUCCUGGCUAACAUGGCGAAACCCUGCCUCUACUAAAAAUACAAAAAAAUUAGCCAGGCGUGGUGGCGGGCGCCUGUAGUCCCAGCUACUCGGGAGGCUGAGGCAGGAGA
rnacentral:lncRNA from 1 species